CUUAGUGUCACUACACGAAUGGGAUGAGACUUUCCAUCCUUCCAAUUGAAGGGGACAUAGUAUGUACUGGUCUUUGCAUUGUCAGUGUCCCUCUGACAAUCAUAUGACCAGGAACGGUUUUGGACAUGAUGGUUAUGUGAAGAAGGUCUUUGUAGUCUAACAUCAUUAGAUUACUUCUUCCAUCGAUCCAUUGUCCAUGGAUUCAUUAUUUAGGACAUAUAUCGUUUAUUGAGAUAGUCCUAAUUAGUAUCUAUGCCUUUUGAUGUAUAAGAGUCAUCUAUACACACAUUCAUUGUCCUGAAAGGUUUCUUCCAAAGAUUGACUUUCAGGGCAUAUUUCCAACAAUCUCCCACUUGCACUAAAGUCUAUCACUAGUGUAUCUUAUACAUACUAGUUGAGAGAGCUUAUGCUCGUAGGUUAACUUGGUUAUGUAUUAAUCCUUUUUAUUUAAAAGGAUUCACUUAUCAAAUGUUUCCAAAACAUUUGAUGAUGUCUCUUUCUUGUGUUCGAAUACUUUGAUGAGACCUUGAUUCCAUGGCUUGAGCUAUCGCCCCAUUACGUCGUAGUGUCCUACUAACGACCUUAUGGUUUGGAUUCAAUCAUUGGUUCUAAAAGAACCCCUUCCAUUCUAAACACCCUUUGAAGCAGUUUCUAAAACAAUAUAUCGUCAUAUAUUUCGUUUGUAUACUUUAUACAAACUUUGCUCCAACCUUGAGACCAUUGUAGUACAAUACUUACAAUACAUUCAUAUGAUUAGUACUUCAUCCAUUAUGAAGUUCCAUUUGUUAAAAUGGCUUAUUUUCACUUUGGUUUAUAACCUAAGUGAACGCACACUUCCAGAGUCCCACUCUGAUGUUCCUUUCUUAAAGGCAAUAAUACUCUAUCAGUUGCUUUGGUUCUGAUAUUGGGAUACAGUAAUAUCUUAAAGUGACAACCCCUGUGGUUCUUCACUUUUGGAUAUCUACUCACAAGUCCAUACAUGUGUCCCUUUUGUGAUUUUGUGACACAUUCAUUAUAAGGGUUACGAAAGUGAUUUUCUAUCAUAUAGGAAAAUUCUUUCUUAAAUCUUCAACAUUUGAGAUUUAAUUUCCCCAUUUAACAUCCUUGAGAUAGCCUUGCUAUAUCAAUAAGUCCAAUUUCAAGUCUAUACUUCAAAAUUGACCGUGUCAUGUUUUGUCAAUUUUCGAGUAACAUCUAUGUUCUAUCAAGUCUAUCAAAUUGACUUUAUUCAUAUCUUGUUGCUCAAAUUAUGACAUCACUCCCACUGGCCUUGUUGUAACUUAGCAUUCAUUCAAAAACUUAACAAUUAUAUUUUCUUGAUUUGAAUGCAUAUUGCUCCCACUAACUUGUCUUGGAUCUAUUGACAAUCAUUAAGAUCCAUUAGCUUAUUGAUGAUGUCUCAACUAUUUUGAGACUAUCAACAACUCUAGCUAACACAAGUUAUUAAACGAAUCAUACACAAAAGAAUUCCUUCUCAAGUAAUUCCUUUUGAAAUGUGUGACUUGCUUUGUCAAGUCUAUUCAUUUAAAUUAUAUGGUGUCAUACACCAUACUACAAGUUUUAGUCAUACUAAGACCUUAAUGUAGUCAUAUAAGAAUUAUCCAAGUCUUUAGUGGAAGCAUGGCUCCUACUAAGGAUAUAGAAACUCAACCAUUCCUUCUAGGUGGUUGAUAUAAUUCUUUAUCAAAACUACAUAGAGCGUUAUAGUUACAUAAGAUGUCGAAUUUGGAUUGUCUUGUUGUUAAACUAUAUGUUGUGACUCAUUUUGAAACUAUUCCCUUUUGUUUCAUCAAAUUUGUCCAUGGGCUUUGUUAUUAGCUUGUUCUCAUAAAAGAGAAUGAUGGACAACUCCCAACAUAUAACCAUUUUAUGUUAGGUUGACGAAACCAACAUUCAAAGACUAUUCUUCAGAAUG
rnacentral:lncRNA from 1 species